GGCCCGUAGCUUAGUCUGGUCAGAGCGCUCGGCUCAUAACCGAGCGGUCAUGCGUUCAAAUCGCAUCGGGCCCAUCAA
rnacentral:tRNA from 1 species